rnacentral:sRNA from 1 species
GCCAGGUGUGGUGAUGCAUGCCUGUAGUCCCAGCUACUCAGGAGGUUGAGGUGGGAGAAUCGCUUGAGCCCAGGAGUUCAACACUGCAGUGAGCCAAGAUUGUGCCACUGCACUCUAGCCUGGGUGACAGAGUGAGACCCUGUCUCAA